UGCGGCAGGCUUAACACAUGCAAGUCGAGGGGCAGCAUGGUCUUAGCUUGCUAAGGCCGAUGGCGACCGGCGCACGGGUGAGUAACACGUAUCCAACCUGCCGUCUACUCUUGGACAGCCUUCUGAAAGGAAGAUUAAUACAAGAUGGCAUCAUGAGUCCGCAUGUUCACAUGAUUAAAGGUAUUCCGGUAGACGAUGGGGAUGCGUUCCAUUAGAUAGUAGGCGGGGUAACGGCCCACCUAGUCUUCGAUGGAUAGGGGUUCUGAGAGGAAGGUCCCCCACAUUGGAACUGAGACACGGUCCAAACUCCUACGGGAGGCAGCAGUGAGGAAUAUUGGUCAAUGGGCGAGAGCCUGAACCAGCCAAGUAGCGUGAAGGAUGACUGCCCUAUGGGUUGUAAACUUCUUUUAUAAAGGAAUAAAGUCGGGUAUGGAUACCCGUUUGCAUGUACUUUAUGAAUAAGGAUCGGCUAACUCCGUGCCAGCAGCCGCGGUAAUACGGAGGAUCCGAGCGUUAUCCGGAUUUAUUGGGUUUAAAGGGAGCGUAGAUGGAUGUUUAAGUCAGUUGUGAAAGUUUGCGGCUCAACCGUAAAAUUGCAGUUGAUACUGGAUAUCUUGAGUGCAGUUGAGGCAGGCGGAAUUCGUGGUGUAGCGGUGAAAUGCUUAGAUAUCACGAAGAACUCCGAUUGCGAAGGCAGCCUGCUAAGCUGCAACUGACAUUGAGGCUCGAAAGUGUGGGUAUCAAACAGGAUUAGAUACCCUGGUAGUCCACACGGUAAACGAUGAAUACUCGCUGUUUGCGAUAUACUGCAAGCGGCCAAGCGAAAGCGUUAAGUAUUCCACCUGGGGAGUACGCCGGCAACGGUGAAACUCAAAGGAAUUGACGGGGGCCCGCACAAGCGGAGGAACAUGUGGUUUAAUUCGAUGAUACGCGAGGAACCUUACCCGGGCUUAAAUUGCAGAUGAAUUACGGUGAAAGCCGUAAGCCGCAAGGCAUCUGUGAAGGUGCUGCAUGGUUGUCGUCAGCUCGUGCCGUGAGGUGUCGGCUUAAGUGCCAUAACGAGCGCAACCCUUGUUGUCAGUUACUAACAGGUCAUGCUGAGGACUCUGACAAGACUGCCAUCGUAAGAUGUGAGGAAGGUGGGGAUGGCGUCAAAUCAGCACGGCCCUUACGUCCGGGGCUACACACGUGUUACAAUGGGGGGCACAGAGGGCCGCUACCACGCGAGUGGAUGCCAAUCCCAAAAACCUCUCUCAGUUCGGACUGGAGUCUGCAACCCGACUCCACGAAGCUGGAUUCGCUAGUAAUCGCGCAUCAGCCACGGCGCGGUGAAUACGUUCCCGGGCCUUGUACACACCGCCCGUCAAGCCAUGGGAGCCGGGGGUACCUGAAGUGCGUAACCGCGAGGAGCGCCCUAGGGUAAAACUGGUGACUGGGG
rnacentral:rRNA from 1 species